GUAUGGGGGACUUUUGGGAUAGCAUUGGAAAUGUAAAUGAGGAAAAUACCUAAUUAAAAAAAAAUACUGUUUCUUUAGAUGCACGCACACGUUUCCCUUGCGUGUUGAAUCGCCUUUCUUCUGGUGUCUAGGAUUGCUUUCUUGCUUGAAAUCAAACCUCAGUCACUUCUUUUAGGGUUAAGUCUUAAACCUGUGACAAUUGGCUGACAUGCCCAUUAACAUAUCAAAGCUGAAAUUGGCCAUCAGGUUCUCCCAGCAUCCCUCAGUCCCUACCUAUUACAGGCUAUGGCUGGCAUACCCUGCCCCAUACUUGAACUCUCCAGCCCAGGGGCUAGGCUGCCCUCCCCCGCCCCUUCAGCUGCUUUUCUCUAUAUAAUAUAGCUAUUUUGGUUACCUGUUCUUUUGGCCAGUCUCUUGGCUCAGGCCACGCAUCUUGAUGGGCAGUUCCUCCCACUCUCUCCUCACAUGGCCAGCUCAGUCUGCCAUGUUCACUCUGGACUCUCCCAGAUGGCUCUGCCUCUGUCUGUGUGAUGUCUCUCCCUUACAUCUAUAAGAAAAACAUCAACCCCUUAGGAGCACUGGGCUCCUUCUUUCUCUUUUUCACUCAGGAUGGAGGGCACUUAGCUCACCUUUGAGUGAGAAUCAUUUUACUUGAUUCUUUCAUGGUACUUCUGAAAGAUGGUUUUGCUGCGGAUGUGAUUCCAGCUGCUCUCUUAGCACAUUGCAAAGGCUGCUCUACUGUCUUUUCUUUGAUUUCCUUUGUAGCUGGUUUACCUCUAUUUGCUCUUUUUCUUCUGGCGAAGACUUCUGUGAGUUUCUACAGGUUCACUAUGAUAUUAACACACACACACACACCAGGACUUAGCUUAAAGAUCUGUGCUUUUCAUUGGUUCUGGAAAUUUCUCUGCCAUUAUCUCUGUGAAUAUUGACCUUUGGCUUGACCCCUCUCCUCCCAUAGAACUCUAUUUAGAAGCUGGAGACAUGGCUCAAAGGUUAAGAGAAAUUGGUGCUCUUUCAGAGGACCUGAAUUUGGUCUUCAGCACCUAUGAUGGGCAGCUUACAGCUACCUGUAGCUCCAACUCCAGGGGAGCCUAUGUACUCUUCUAGCUUCUAGGGAUAACCACACACUCAAAAUCCCCACAUAAAAUAUAUGUCCAUAUAGAAUGUUUGCGUGGCUUUGCCAGGUUCCCCAAGGCACUGUCAGGUCCACUCCUUGUCUCCCCGUUAUUCACUGAUGUGUGAAUGCUAGCGAUCUUUAAGUCACCUUUUAGAUCAUCUUUAGAUCUCUAGCUCACCUUUAAAAGAUGCGGUCUUCUUCAGUGCAUGCGCAGGGCUUAGCACCACUCUCCAGGACACCUGAAUCAUACAGGGAAUGUGCAUCUGUGCUGCUCACUCAGCCAAGAUUAGCUUUGUGGUUACAGCCUUUAUGGUGAGGUUGCUUUUAGCUUUCGGCUUAAACCAAGAUUGGCUGGCUGGGCUUCCUCUAAGUCCCUCUGUGGGUUUGUUUCCAUUUGCCUUUUGUCCAGGGUCGAGUCCUUCCGAUUCCAACCUGGUACAGUGUUUCCCUUUGAGCCUCCAUGAGAGUUCACGUGUUCUACCGCUGUCAGCCCUGCCUUCCUCGAAAGGUUGAGAUGUUGAAUGGAUGUCGGCUUCAGUCUUUGCUCGCCUGCCUCUGUUCCUAGGCUUGGCUGGGUUUGGGCCUCAAAGGAUUUGAUUCUUUCCCGAUGCACCAGCUCAGAAGUGCAUUUGGGAUAUAUAUAGAUUACAUCUAUUUUAUUCAGGAUUUUUAGCUGUUGAUCGUGGCAGGAUUAUUGAGGACACCGCAGGGGACUAUUGUCAACCAUGUAGUUUUAUUUAUAGAGUGCAUUUUUUCCAUUCUUACAUCUUUAGUCUGCCCUCGGGGAGAUAGCAUGGUUGCGUGUGAGCAGUGCUUUGCCAGUGGCCACUCUUCCUACAGUGAAUUCCUUCAGCUGACAGGGGUCUGGGAUCUCCACUCCUGACCUCUGAAGAAGGGGCUAGCACUCCUUCUCCUGCGCCAGCCUCACUUCCCAGGCUCGGGCCUCCUCUGCCUUUUUUAUAAGCUCUAAUGGAGCUAAGGUCACUAUCUUCCUUUUGUCUCUGGCGUCCCAGCCUUGGGACAUCCCUCUCUCUGCCUUUCUGUAAGUCUUUUUUUUUUCCUUCUGAUUUCCUUUGAGAGUAAUUUUUCUUAUUGUGUCCCAAUUAACCAAAAGGGUAGAGAAAGCAUCCUUCCACCCCUGUGCUUUGUCAGUCCUUUUGGGGGAAGCCAUGUUCCUCUGCAGCAGCCCAGGAAGAAGAAGACAAGCAUACCCGGUGGGCGGCUGCAUUCAUAACCUUAGAGACUUUGUGGUCCCCUCUGGCAGCUCCUCCCACAUCCAGCUCGUAGCCUCUCAGCAGGCUGCGCCCCCAGAGGAGCCCAGAGGCCCUAGUGAUUUCCCCGCCCCUCCAGGAAGCCUCUGCUAAUUAUCACCUCCAGGAAAGAGUCAAGCCAUGAAAACAGUAAUUCUCAGGGGACCCGGAAAGGAAAUAACUCCCUUAGAAAGUUCUCAGCAUCUCAGAGGGCAGUUUGUGUCAUCACCACCCAACCCACCUCAAAUAAUCCAGUCGCUGGCCACUGCCGCGUAGCUGGCCAAUGCAGUGUAGUGAGGUAGCUGCAGCCACGCCCGACCGUAGUUAUUGAACCCUUAAAACAUGGCCAGUAAAGGACUGGGGGAUAGCUCAGUGGUUAAGAGCACUGGCUACUUUUCCAGAUGACCUGGGUUUGAUUCCCAGCACCUACCAGUGCCUUCUUCUGGUCUCUGAGGGCACCAGACAUGAAAGUGAUGCAGACAUACACUCAGGCAAAACCCACACACGUAAAGGGGUAGGGAACAGUGAAAUAUUAACUGGACUUCAAGUUCAGUACAAAAAUAUAAUUACCAUCAUGAUACUUCAAGUUUAUAUUGAAAUGAUAUUUUGAAUAUGUUGAAGAGAAUAACAUUUCCUUUUUUUUAUUUUAAUAUAUAUAUAUAUAUUUAAAGUGGCAACAAAGUUGGUUUUAUGGGUUGUGAGUUUUGCUCACUUUAUCUUCUGGGCAAUAGUAAUCUAAAAGAUAACUUGUUCCUUUUUUUUUUCCCCGUGGUUUGUUCUAUUUAGAUGCAAAUGAUAGUUCUGCCUGCCUGCAAUCUCUGCUUAUCAGAUGCUUUGACAUUUUUUGCCCGGGCAUAUAAAGAUAGAAGUGACUUCAUUCACUCCCCACUGAGAAUUUUCCAUGGUGCCACAGCCUGCAAGCACAAGCACAAAGAGAAAUAUUCUCAAAUCAGG
rnacentral:lncRNA from 1 species